GCCCCUCUAGUUCAGUGGUUUAACCCACCGCUGAGCCGGUCACUUCAGUUCCGAAGUGGUCGAGGGUUCGAACCCUGAGGGGCA